rnacentral:rRNA from 1 species
ACCCAGACUCCUACGGGAGGCAGCAGUGAGGAAUAUUGGUCAAUGGGCGGAAGCCUGAACCAGCCAAGUCGCGUGAGGGAAGAAGGCCCUGCGGGUCGCAGACCUCUUUGGACGGGGAGCAAGGCCGCCGACGUGUCGGCGGAAGGAGAGUACCCGUAGAACAAGCAUCGGCUAACUCCGUGCCAGCAGCCGCGGUAAUACGGAGGAUGCGAGCGUUAUCCGGAUUCAUUGGGUUUAAAGGGUGCGCAGGGGGCCUUUAGGGCGGGGGGUGAAUGCGGGGGGCCCACCCCCGCCGAGCCGUCGGAACUGGGGGCCUUGAGUGCGGCGGAGGCAUGCGGAAUGCGCGGUGUAGCGGUGAAAUGCAUAGAUAUCGCGCAGAACCCCGAUUGCGAAGGCAGCGUGCCAUGCCGCCACUGACGCUGAGGCACGAAAGCGCGGGGAUCGAACAGGAUUAGAUACCCCCGUAAU